rnacentral:misc_RNA from 1 species
AAGUGUGUGAGGGUUGUAUGGCCCGAGCAGUGAGAGGGUGUGGUUUUGAUGUGGGGGUUAGUGGGUAUGCAAGUACCCAGCAACCUUUUUCAACACAAACAAUACGAUUUUGAACAAGGUAUGAGCAAGUGAUUACGACACA